GGGGCUGUGGCUCAGCAGUAGAACACUCACCUAGCACGUGUGAGGCCCUGGGUUCGAUCCUCAGCAGCACAA
rfam:Ictidomys tridecemlineatus contig054025, whole genome shotgun sequence.